rnacentral:lncRNA from 12 species
CGCGGGGGUGCGCGGGCGCCCCCUGGCGCUGUCCCGGCGCAGCGCGGCUGCCCCCGAGCAUCGCCGCGGUCGGUCAAGGUCACGGCGUGUCCUCGGCCCGGGCCGCAGCCUCGGGAAACCGGGGAAAACGAUCGGGAAACCGACAUCGAGGGAUGCUCUUCUUUGUUUUUCACUUCCAAGCAGAACACAUAAUUUGGUCUCUUGGCUUUUCUUCUUAUCUGAAGGGCAAUGGACACAGUAGAAAAUAAAUUUUUGUUUUCAAGAUUAAGGCCAGUAUUUUCGUUGAUAUUCCAUAAGUCAAACACGAGAAGACUUUGAAUACUUUUUAAUACACAGCAGUGGUGGAAGAAAUUGAUGGUUACACCCAGGGAAGUUUAUCUCGACAUUCCCAAAGCUCUGGGGCACUUUAAGGCCCUGGGCUCCAGCAGGGCUGUGCAUCCUGGCAGCACAUCCAGCAUCCGUGUCUGCGCGUGCUAGCCAUUCCCAGGCCCUUUGUGUCCUCGCCCCGAUGAUACUGCUGCCAUGGUGAAAAACAGAGAGAAAGAACAACAGGAUAUUGUCCCGUUCUGCUCCGCGUGCCAACUGUGACA